GUCGAGAGGCUUCGGCAAUGGGCGAAAGCCCGACCGAGCGACGCCGCGUGGGCGAUGAAGGCCUUCGGGUCGUAAAGCCCUGUCACAGGGGGGAGAAACGCAUCCAGCUGAACAGGCUGGGUGCCUGACGUUGCCCCUGGAGAAAGACCCGGCUAACUCCGUGCCAGCAGCCGCGGUAAUACGGAGGGGUCAAGCGUUAUUCGGAUUUACUGGGCGUAAAGGGCGCGUAGGCGGGAUCACGGGUCGGCCGUGAAAUCCACCGGCUCAACCGGUGAACUGCGGUCGAAACUGUGAUUCUUGAGCUUGGUAGAGGAAGGCGGAAUUCCUGGUGUAGCGGUGGAAUGCGUAGAUAUCAGGAAGAACACCGGUAGCGAAGGCGGCCUUCUGGGCCAUGGCUGACGCUGAGGCGCGAAAGCUGGGGGAGCAAACAGGCUUAGAUACCCCAGUAGUCC
rnacentral:rRNA from 1 species